AGAGUUUGAUCCUGGCUCAGGAUGAACGCUAGCUACAGGCUUAACACAUGCAAGUCGAGGGGCAGCAUGUUGGUUGCUUGCAACCAACGAUGGCGACCGGCGCACGGGUGAGUAACGCGUAUCCAACCUACCCUUGUCCAUCGGAUAACCCGUCGAAAGGCGGCCUAACACGAUAUGCGGUUCACAGCAGGCAUCUAACGUGAACGAAAUGUGAAGGAGAAGGAUGGGGGAUGCGUCUGAUUAGCUUGGUUGGCGGGGUAACGGCCCACAAGGCUACGAUCAGUAGGGGUUCUGGAGAGGAAGGUCCCCCACAUUGGAACUGAGACACGGUCCAAACUCCUACGGGAGCA
rnacentral:rRNA from 1 species